rnacentral:rRNA from 1 species
UGACGUUAGCGGCGGACGGGUGAGUAACACGUGGAUAACCUACCUAUAAGACUGGGAUAACUUCGGGAAACCGGAGCUAAUACCGGAUAACAUGUUGAACCGCAUGGUUCAACAGUGAAAGACGGUCUUGCUGUCACUUAUAGAUGGAUCCGCGCCGCAUUAGCUAGUUGGUAAGGUAACGGCUUACCAAGGCAACGAUGCGUAGCCGACCUGAGAGGGUGAUCGGCCACACUGGAACUGAGACACGGUCCAGACUCCUACGGGAGGCAGCAGUAGGGAAUCUUCCGCAAUGGGCGAAAGCCUGACGGAGCAACGCCGCGUGAGUGAAGAAGGUCUUCGGAUCGUAAAACUCUGUUAUUAGGGAAGAACAAAUGUGUAAGUAACUAUGCACGUCUUGACGGUACCUAAUCAGAAAGCCACGGCUAACUACGUGCCAGCAGCCGCGGUAAUACGUAGGUGGCAAGCGUUAUCCGGAAUUAUUGGGCGUAAAGCGCGCGUAGGCGGUUUUUUAAGUCUGAUGUGAAAGCCCACGGCUCAACCGUGGAGGGUCAUUGGAAACUGGAAAACUUGAGUGCAGAAGAGGAAAGUGGAAUUCCAUGUGUAGCGGUGAAAUGCGCAGAGAUAUGGAGGAACACCAGUGGCGAAGGCGACUUUCUGGUCUGUAACUGACGCUGAUGUGCGAAAGCGUGGGGAUCAAACAGGAUUAGAUACCCUGGUAGUCCACGCCGUAAACGAUGAGUGCUAAGUGUUAGGGGGUUUCCGCCCCUUAGUGCUGCAGCUAACGCAUUAAGCACUCCGCCUGGGGAGUACGACCGCAAGGUUGAAACUCAAAGGAAUUGACGGGGACCCGCACAAGCGGUGGAGCAUGUGGUUUAAUUCGAAGCAACGCGAAGAACCUUACCAAAUCUUGACAUCCUCUGACCCCUCUAGAGAUAGAGUUUUCCCCUUCGGGGGACAGAGUGACAGGUGGUGCAUGGUUGUCGUCAGCUCGUGUCGUGAGAUGUUGGGUUAAGUCCCGCAACGAGCGCAACCCUUAAGCUUAGUUGCCAUCAUUAAGUUGGGCACUCUAAGUUGACUGCCGGUGACAAACCGGAGGAAGGUGGGGAUGACGUCAAAUCAUCAUGCCCCUUAUGAUUUGGGCUACACACGUGCUACAAUGGACAAUACAAAGGGUAGCGAAACCGCGAGGUCAAGCAAAUCCCAUAAAGUUGUUCUCAGUUCGGAUUGUAGUCUGCAACUCGACUACAUGAAGCUGGAAUCGCUAGUAAUCGUAGAUCAGCAUGCUACGGUGAAUACGUUCCCGGGUCUUGUACACACCGCCCGUCACACCACGAGAGUUUGUAACACCCGAAGCCGGUGGAGUAACCUUUUGGAGCUAGCCGUCGAAGGUGGGACAAAUGAUUGGGGUGAAGUCGUAACAAGGUAGCCGUAUCGGAAGGUGCGGCUGGAUCACCUCCUUUCUAAGGA